rnacentral:lncRNA from 1 species
AUUGGGAACUACAAGAAGCAGUAAUACAUCACUCUAAGAAUCGCUGCCUUUGGACACUACUCUGAAGGAGGAUCCUUCCAGUAAUAUUGUUCCAAAAUGACUGGAAUCCUGUGUCCAAGAGUGAGGACAGAUGAGAGCAGCAUACAAUGGAGCCUCUCUGCAUUGUUAUGAUGCCCAGGACUGUAGCACUGGUGAUGGUAUACAAUGGCUAUGCUAUCACACACCAUGGAGCAAGUGACUUAGAAGGGAGGAGAAGGCUUAUCCUUCCAGGAAGUCCACCUCUGAUAUGUGAGUUGAUGAGCUCUUCUUUGGUUUCGUCAUGAAUAUUAAAGGUGUGUUCAUAGUAAACUCAUCUUUGUCAUUAGUGAAACACCUUUAUACUUCACAAAUCUCAUGAUCCUUGUUUGCACUGUAUUUUUUUUCUAAAGGCUUCAUAUGUUAUCCUGUCUCUGUAGAAGAGUUUCUGCAUACAUGCAUUAGGAGAUAAUGUCUCUCCUGAAAAGACUGAUAAUCUGUGUAGGGUUGGGAUCCUGAUACUUUCCCCCCACUCUAUGGAAGUGGAACAGAAAGGCUGUGGUUUGCCAGAAGUCUUAAGGAAAACCUUUCAGGAGAGCCAAGAACCAAGACUGGACUUCUUACCUCCCAAAUCAGUGCCUUAACCACAAAUCCAGCCAUCCCCUCUUGCUAAUGCCACGCCAACUGCAUUAUAAAUCUAGUUUGUAAGUUAUGAAGCCAGUCAGUGACAAUUAUCUGGACAGCACAAAUAUAGUAACACUGCAAACAUGUUUGUUAGGCAAUAAAAUCUUACACACCUAAGAAGCUCA